AUUGAACGCUGGCGGAAUGCUUUACACAUGCAAGUCGGGCGGCAGCACGGGGGCAACCCUGGUGGCGAGCGGCGAACGGGUGAGUAAUACAUCGGAACGUACCCUGUCGUGGGGGAUAACGAAUCGAAAGAUUCGCUAAUACCGCAUACGACCUGAGGGUGAAAGCGGGGGAUCGCAAGACCUCGCGCGAUGAGAUGAGCCGAUGUCGGAUUAGCUUGUUGGCGGGGUAACGGCUUACCAAGGCGACGAUCCGUAGCUGAUCUGAGAGGAUGAUCAGCCACACUGGGACUGAGACACGGCCCAGACUCCUACGGGAGGCAGCAGUGGGGAAUAUUGGACAAUGGGCGAAAGCCUGAUCCAGCAAUACCGCGUGUGUGAAGAAGGCCUGAGGGUUGUAAAGCACUUUCAAUAGAAGGAAUACCUACUGGUUAAUACCCGGUAGACUGACAUUACCUAUACAAGAAGCACCGGCUAA
rnacentral:rRNA from 1 species